GGGCACACGGGAGGCAUGGGGCCACCAAUUUGGCCUCGACAUCGGGAGAGAUCAUGCGGAGGAGGUGGUGCCACUCACAAAGGAGCUUCGGAGCCACUGAAGUCAGCCCCGGCACUGGCGGAGGUGCGCAUGCAUGCUGGAGAGGCCGGUGACCAUCGAUGCCUUUUUCCUCUCUUUCCCACUUCUUCUCUCUCCCUCUUUCUUUAAUUUUUUUUAUCUUAUCUGGAUGUGUGGCUUGUGGGG
rnacentral:lncRNA from 1 species